rnacentral:misc_RNA from 1 species
GGAUAACUCAGGGGAUGGAGGGAGACUACUAGUGAGAUUCAAAUGGUACAAUCUGCAAUAUUCUUGAACACGGGGAAUUUUUAGACAAGCCAGGUAAUUUGACUUGGCCAAAAAAUACAUGAAUUAAGCAUCAAUACUUUCUCCUAAAUUAAAGCCUCUCCUCUACAUAUGGCAUCACUGGAAUCAGAAUUUUUCUCAAGUAGCAUCUGAAGUCUGUGCUCAAGUUAUUUUAUUUCCCUUGCACUCAUUCCUUUUCUCCAUGGGUUUGGACAUUUUCAUUUUAUAUCAUUCAAGAAUUGGACUGAUGCACUCGAGACAAGCCUAGAAAUCUCUACCAGCAAGUUAG